GGAGUUGUGGCUCAGAGGUAGAGUGCUCGCCUAGCAUGCGUGAGGCACAAAGUUCGAUCUUCAGCACCA
rfam:Ictidomys tridecemlineatus contig023200, whole genome shotgun sequence.